GGGACCGUAAAGGUUUCGACGGGGAUUUUGAAGUGCGAUAAGCGGGUAGAGGUUGGGGAACCUCUUGAAUCAUCCCUAAACUUAAAUUAAACGCUAA
rnacentral:tmRNA from 1 species